UGAAUUUCUCUAAAGUAAUUUGUGUAAGUAAAGUGUUUUAUAGUGAAAUCAAAAGUGGAAAUAGUGUUUUAUCGAAAUCAUGCAAAAAGUUUGUGCGGGAUAUGUGCGUUUAGUGUUAUUUUGUGAAAAUAAAAAUGUGCAAGUGAAAGAAACGCUAGUUAAAGCAAAUAGCUAAAAAACCUGCGUUACUCACAUAAAAUACUCUCGCCGUUAAUGCAGGUUUAUUUGAAGCACAAGAAACGAAGAAGACUGCGGUAUACUUUUGUGCUGAGAACAGUGCAUACUAUUAACUGCAACUCUGUGGGUAAACAGAUGUCCGCCGCCAUAUUAAUCGUCUUCCGUCAGUUCCGUUUAUUCGUGCGCGGGCGUAAGUUGCGUUGAAAUGCCGUGUCAUUAAUUCGUGAAUUUCAAAAAAAUCUGUUUUUGUAAAAAAGUUCUAUAAAGUGUAAUCUAUAGUUUAAGUUGUGCUCUAUAAAAAUCGUGUGAAAAGUGUGUGCGGGAAGUGUGUAUUUAGUAUUAUUUUCAAAAUUAAAAUUUUGCCAAAGCAAGUAGCACGAAAACUAGUUGAAGCGAAUCAGAGCAGACACUGUUUUACCCACUUGCAAUAAAUCCACCGUUAAUGCAGUUCUACCUGGAUUUCAUGAAGCAAAGUAUAGUAUAAUUUUAGGCAAAAGUCAGUUUUUAACGAACGCGUUAAUUCGUGUGUGUGUUUUCAUUCAGUUCCAUAUGUGCGCAUUUAAUCUAAAGUGGGACACUCAGUGAAAAAUUUAAUAUAUUGGCAUAUUGUUUCAAAAGUUCAUUUAUUCUCCCACAUUAAAAUCAA